rnacentral:rRNA from 1 species
GUAGGGAAUAUUGGUCAAUGGACGAAAGUCUGAACCAGCCAUUCCGCGUGCAGGAAGAAGAUUCUAUGGAUUGUAAACUGCUUUCAGCAGAGAAGAAACGCCUUCAUUGAUGAGGGUUUGACGGUAUCUGCGGAAUAAGCACCGGCUAACUCCGUGCCAGCAGCCGCGGUAAUACGGGGGGUGCAAGCGUUAUCCGGAAUCACUGGGUUUAAAGGGUGCGUAGGCGGGAAAUUAAGUCAGUGGUGAAAGUCUGUUGCUUAACGAUAGAAUUGCCGUUGAUACUGAUUUUCUUGAAUUGGGUUGAGGUUAGCGGAAUGUGACAUGUAGCGGUGAAAUGCAUAGAUAUGUCAUGGAACACCAAUUGCGAAGGCAGCUAGCUGGGCCUUGAUUGACGCUGAGGCACGAAAGCGUGGGUAGCGAACAGGAUUAGAUACCCGAGUAGUCC